ensembl:lncRNA
CUGAAAUUAGGCGUUGUUGCUGUUCAGUCGCUCAGUCAUGUCCAACUCUUUGCUGCCCCAUAGACUGAAGCAUGCCAGGCUUCCCUGUCCUUCACCAUCUCCCAGAGUUUGCUCAAAAGGGCGCAUGAAUAUAAACAUUUUGGGAAGUUUGAAAUCUAUAGGCAAUCCACAAGCAGUUACCCGCAUGUGAAACCAGAAAAAUAGGGAUUGAAGCCUACAAAAUCCUACUGAGGUUCUAUGUGCAGCCCUUCUUGAAUGAGGAAACCUGUUCGCCCACCGUCGAUUUUGGUUUGUGAGAACAUGGCUGGAUUUAUGGCUGUACGAGACUCCGGCCUGUGGUCGAGAUUCCGGGGCCCAAAGAAGGAUGAGAGGAACUGUGGCCAAUGGGCAACUCACUGCUGGGCAGGAAAGGACUGUCCUCUGCAGUCAUGCUGGGAGACAGGCCUCCUCUGAAGCACCUGCUGAAACAGACCUGGCCAACAGAGCUUUCACUCACUUACGUCUAUGACAUUUCCGAAACCUUUUCU